rnacentral:rRNA from 1 species
CCUACGGGGCGCUGCAGUGAGGAAUAUUGGUCAAUGGACGAGAGUCUGAACCAGCCAAGUAGCGUGAAGGAUGACUGCCCUAUGGGUUGUAAACUUCUUUUAUAUGGGAAUAAAAUGUUCCACGUGUGGGAUUUUGUAUGUACCAUAUGAAUAAGGAUCGGCUAACUCCGUGCCAGCAGCCGCGGUAAUACGGAGGAUCCGAGCGUUAUCCGGAUUUAUUGGGUUUAAAGGGAGCGUAGGUGGAUUGUUAAGUCAGUUGUGAAAGUUUGCGGCUCAACCGUAAAAUUGCAGUUGAAACUGGCAGUCUUGAGUACAGUAGAGGUGGGCGGAAUUCGUGGUGUAGCGGUGAAAUGCUUAGAUAUCACGAAGAACUCCGAUUGCGAAGGCAGUUCACUGGACUGCAACUGACACUGAGACUCGAAAGUGUGGGUAUCAAACAGGAUUAGAUACCCGAGUAGUC